CCUACGGGAGGCUGCAGUGGGGAAUAUUGGACAAUGGGGGGAACCCUGAUCCAGCCAUGCCGCGUGUGUGAAGAAGGCCCUCGGGUUGUAAAGCACUUUCAGUGAGGAAGAACGCCUGGUGGUUAAUACCCAUCAGGAAAGACAUCACUCACAGAAGAAGCACCGGCUAACUCCGUGCCAGCAGCCGCGGUAAUACGGAGGGUGCGAGCGUUAAUCGGAAUUACUGGGCGUAAAGCGCGCGUAGGUGGCUUGAUAAGCCGGUUGUGAAAGCCCCGGGCUCAACCUGGGAACGGCAUCCGGAACUGUCAAGCUAGAGUGCAGGAGAGGAAGGUAGAAUUCCCGGUGUAGGGGUGAAAUGCGUAGAGAUCGGGAGGAAUACCAGUGGCGAAGGCGGCCUUCUGGACUGACACUGACACUGAGGUGCGAAAGCGUGGGUAGCAAACAGGAUUAGAUACCCGGGUAGUC
rnacentral:rRNA from 1 species